AUUCUAAUUCAUAAAGUGAAAAACCAAAAGAGAGCUAAUGAUUACAGUAAUAACAGAACUUCGUACUCCCUCACGGCUUUCCAAAUUCUUAAAGAAUUCCUUCUAUGACUUCAUUUCAUUGCACUUUAUGAAGUGCUUUCUCGUUCAUUCUAACAUCUUUAGUUUUACAGCACUCCUGAAAAAUAGAAUGUGACGAAACUGGCACAAAUUUUACAUUUGACAACUAAAGGCAUUUUU
rnacentral:lncRNA from 1 species